AUUGAACGCUGGCGGCAUGCUUUACACAUGCGAGUCGAACGGUAACAGGCCUUCGGGUGCUGACGAGUGGCGGACGGGUGGGUAAUGCAUCGGAACGUGCCCAGAGGUGGGGGAUAACGCAGCGAAAGCUGUGCUAAUACCGCAUGUGAUCUGAGGAUGAAAGCGGGGGACCAGGCAGCAAUGUUUGGCCUCGCGCCUUUGGAGCGGCCGAUGACGGAUUAGGUAGUUGGUGGGGUAAAGGCCUACCAAGCCGAGGAUCUGUAGCUGGUCUGAGAGGACGACCAGCCACACUGGGACUGAGACACGGCCCAGACUCCUACGGGAGGCAGCAGUGGGGAAUCUUGGACAAUGGGCGCAAGCCUGAUCCAGCAAUGCCGCGUGCGGGAAGAAGGCCUUCGGGUUGUAAACCGCUUUUGUACGGAACGAAAAGGCUCUGGCUAAUACCUGGGGCUGAUGACGGUACCGUAAGAAUAAGCACCGGCUAACUACGUG
rnacentral:rRNA from 1 species